GUCACCCUGCAGAUUCCCUCCUUAAUGAAAAGUGAUUAACACAUAUUCACCACUUCUUGUCAAGACCUCAUAUACCUCUGCUUCUGUAGUCCCCACCAAUUUAAUAUGCACUUAACAACUAUCGUUGAUUUUCUGACCCAAGUGGUUUCUCUGGAGCAUUCUCAUGACAUCAGGAAAAUAAACACCUCUAGAGAUACAUAUACUCCCCAUCUUUGCAAGUAAAAUAAAUCACCAGGACAAAGCUAGAAUUGUCGAAAUGUACAAACUCAACAUGUUACUCCAAGUAAUCUGCCCCUCUUUGUUCACAUUUUGUUCAAUCUAUAUCCAUGAUCUGGGGCUGGGGCUCUGGUCCUCAGUAUACCUGCUAUCCUCUCAGUCCUGCUAAGAGCCUCUGCCCACACACAGUCAUACACGUAAUUCCAGGGCCCAGCUAAGUUGAAUAAACUGUGGCCACGCACCUGAUCCAUGUAGCUGCCUACCUACUGGUUGGACAAUCAGGGAAGGAAGGCCAGGCCCAAUGAGAUACCUGACUGGGCAAAUUUGACAAGGAAACUUGGAGUUAAUAUUUGCUAGUGCAAGAGCCAAAAUCAAGCAGGGAUUUGAAGUCACAAAUCAACAGGCCAAUAAUUAGCAGGAAGAGCUGCAGCAGGUGUGGAAUGCCCAAGUUGCUCCCGUGGCUGAGCAUGGAAACACAGAGGCAUGGACUCUACAGCUGAGCUGGCAAGGUUGGUG
rnacentral:lncRNA from 1 species